AGUCGAACGAACCUUUCGGGGUUAGUGGCGGACGGGUGAGUAACACGUGGGAACGUGCCUUUAGGUUCGGAAUAACUCAGGGAAACUUGUGCUAAUACCGAAUGUGCCCUUCGGGGGAAAGAUUUAUCGCCUUUAGAGCGGCCCGCGUCUGAUUAGCUAGUUGGUUGAGGUAAUGGCUCACCAAGGCGACGAUCAGUAGCUGGUCUGAGAGGAUGAUCAGCCACAUUGGGACUGAGACACGGCCCAAACUCCUACGGGAGGCAGCAGUGGGGAAUCUUGCGCAAUGGGCGAAAGCCUGACGCAGCCAUGCCGCGUGAAUGAUGAAGGUCUUAGGAUUGUAAAAUUCUUUCACCGGGGACGAUAAUGACGGUACCCGGAGAAGAAGCCCCGGCUAACUUCGUGCCAGCAGCCGCGGUAAUACGAAGGGGGCUAGCGUUGCUCGGAAUUACUGGGCGUAAAGGGAGCGUAGGCGGACAUUUAAGUCAGGGGUGAAAUCCCGGGGCUCAACCUCGGAAUUGCCUUUGAUACUGGGUGUCUUGAGUAUGAGAGAGGUGUGUGGAACUCCGAGUGUAGAGGUGAAAUUCGUAGAUAUUCGGAAGAGCACCAGUGGCGAAGGCGACACACUGGCUCAUUACUGA
rnacentral:rRNA from 1 species